CUGGUUGAUCCUGCCAGUAGUCAUAUGCUUGUCUCAAAGAUUAAGCCAUGCAUGUCUAAGUAUAAGCAAUCUAUACAGUGAAACUGCGAAUGGCUCAUUAAAUCAGUUAUCGUUUAUUUGAUAGUACCUUACUACUUGGAUAACCGUGGUAAUUCUAGAGCUAAUACAUGCUAAAAACCUCGACUUCGGAAGGGGUGUAUUUAUUAGAUAAAAAACCAAUGCCCUUCGGGGCUCCUUGGUGAUUCAUGAUAACUUAACGAAUCGCAUGGCCUUGUGCCGGCGAUGGUUCAUUCAAAUUUCUGCCCUAUCAACUUUCGAUGGUAGGAUAGUGGCCUACCAUGGUUUCAACGGGUAACGGGGAAUUAGGGUUCUAUUCCGGAGAGGGAGCCUGAGAAACGGCUACCACAUCCAAGGAAGGCAGCAGGCGCGCAAAUUACCCAAUCCCGACACGGGGAGGUAGUGACAAUAAAUACUGAUACAGGGCUCUUUUGGGUCUUGUAAUUGGAAUGAGUACAAUUUAAAUCCCUUAACGAGGAACAAUUGGAGGGCAAGUCUGG
rnacentral:rRNA from 2 species